GGACGGGUGAGUAAUGCCUAGGAAAUUGCCCUGAUGUGGGGGAUAACCAUUGGAAACGAUGGCUAAUACCGCAUAAUCUCUUCGGAGCAAAGAGGGGGACCUUCGGGCCUCUCGCGUCAGGAUAUGCCUAGGUGGGAUUAGCUAGUUGGUGAGGUAAUGGCUCACCAAGGCGACGAUCCCUAGCUGGUCUGAGAGGAUGAUCAGCCACACUGGAACUGAGACACGGUCCAGACUCCUACGGGAGGCAGCAGUGGGGAAUAUUGCACAAUGGGCGCAAGCCUGAUGCAGCCAUGCCGCGUGUAUGAAGAAGGCCUUCGGGUUGUAAAGUACUUUCAGUCGUGAGGAAGGCAUUAACGUUAAUAGCGUUGGUGUUUGACGUUAGCGACAGAAGAAGCACCGGCUAACUCCGUGCCAGCAGCCGCGGUAAUACGGAGGGUGCGAGCGUUAAUCGGAAUUACUGGGCGUAAAGCGCAUGCAGGUGGUUCGUUAAGUCAGAUGUG
rnacentral:rRNA from 1 species